AUUGAACGCUGGCGGCAGGCCUAACACAUGCAAGUCGAACGAGUGGCGCACGUGUGAGUAAUGUCUGUGAAACUGCCUGAUGGCGGGGGAUAACUCCUGGAAACGGUAGCUAAUACCGCAUACCAUCAGAUGUGCCCAGCGGGGAUUAGCUUUUUGGUGGGGUAACGGCUCACCAAGGCGACGAUCCCUAGCUGGUCUGAGAGGAUGACCGGCCACACUGGAACUGAGACACGGUCCAGACUCCUACGGGAGGCAGCAGUGGGGAAUAGUGCACAAUGGGCGCAAGCCUGAUGCAGCCAUGCCGCGUGUAUGAAGAAGGCCUUCGGGUUGUAAAGUACUGUCAGCGGGGAGGCGUUACCCGCAGAAGAAGCACCGGCUAACUCCGUGCCAGCAGCCGCGGUAAUAC
rnacentral:rRNA from 1 species